rnacentral:rRNA from 1 species
GGGGAAUAUUGGGCAAUGGGGGAAACCCUGACCCAGCAACGCCGCGUGAAGGAAGAAGGCCCUCGGGUUGUAAACUUCUUUUACCAGGGACGAAGGACGUGACGGUACCUGGAGAAAAAGCAACGGCUAACUACGUGCCAGCAGCCGCGGUAAUACGUAGGGGGCGAGCGUUAUCCGGAUUUAUUGGGUGUAAAGGGUGCGUAGACGGUUAUGCAAGUUGGUUGUGAAAUCCCGAGGCUCAACUUCGGAACUGCAACCAAAACUGUGUAACUCGAGUGCGGGAGAGGAAAGCGGAAUUCCUAGUGUAGCGGUGAAAUGCGUAGAUAUUAGGAAGAACACCAGUGGCGAAGGCGGCUUUCUGGACCGUAACUGACGUUGAGGCACGAAAGUGUGGGGAGCAAACAGGAUUAGAUACCCUGGUAGU